rnacentral:lncRNA from 1 species
CUAUGAUGAGUGAUAUAUGUGGGUUGAGAUAUAUUAUAGAAUAUCAAAUAUGUAUGCAUGGAUCCAAUUGGGAGUAUUUUUUUAUGCAAGUCAAGUUUUGGAAAUAUUUUUUGUGUAGGUCCCCAAGGUCUUAUAAAUAUUGGAAAUAUAUUGCAUAAGAAAGCCAGUGCUGAACUAGUACUGGAGGACGUACUAGCCAGUGAUCAGUUUGGUACAAAACAAGUCUGUACUAUGCUGUUCUAAGUCAUAAAUAGGGAGGAGGGGGUGG